UGGGGAAUAUUGGACAAUGGGCGAAAGCCUGAUCCAGCCAUGCCGCGUGUGUGAAGAAGGUCUUCGGAUUGUAAAGCACUUUAAGUUGGGAGGAAGGGCAUUAACCUAAUACGUUAGUGUUUUGACGUUACCGACAGAAUAAGCACCGGCUAACUCUGUGCCAGCAGCCGCGGUAAUACAGAGGGUGCAAGCGUUAAUCGGAAUUACUGGGCGUAAAGCGCGCGUAGGUGGUUUGUUAAGUUGGAUGGGAAAUCCCCGGGCUCAACCUGGGAACUGCAUUCAAAACUGACUGACUAGAGUAUGGUAGAGGGUGGUGGAAUUUCCUGUGUAGCGGUGAAAUGCGUAGAUAUAGGAAGGAAAACCAGUGGCGAAGGCGACCACCUGGACUAAUACUGACACUGAGGUGCGAAAGCGUGGGGAGCAAACA
rnacentral:rRNA from 1 species